UCUGUUCUCUCUCAAUCCUAGUAAAGAUGACUGCAAACGCUCUGAUGAUCUGCUCUCUACUGCUUUCUCUUGCUGGUUGUUCAGCUGAGAUCAUUCUGACUCAGAGUCCGUCGGUGGAUUCGGUGUCUGUGGGAAGCAGCGUCACUCUCAACUGCAGAUCCAGCAGUUCUAGUUUUACACAGAGUUUAGCCUGGUAUCACCAGAGACCCGGACAAACACCCAAACUCCUGUUCUCUAGUGUUGGCAGCAAAGUGUCUGGAGUUUCUGAGAGAUUCACUGAUGGGAGAUCAGGAACAAACUUCAUGCUCAAUAUCAGAAAUGUCCAGUCUGAAGACGCAGGAGAUUAUUACUGUCAACAGCAUAGUGAAAUGCCAAGAACACAGUGAUACAGAGCCGUACAAAAACCCCUUCAGUGAAAGAGGAACUACUGAUUUAGACACACACUGCACACACAUUACACUGUGACUGGACCCUGUUUUAAAAACUCUGAACAGUUCAUAUCUCACAGCAAGAUACUUGUUUGCUUUUCACUAAAAGUAAAGAUUUAGAUUUGGCUAGGGGAUACUGAUCAUAGACCAAAACUAACAAGUACAGCUUUAUCUUGGCUUUUUAAAAUAAAAGCCCACAGUGGAUUGAGCAAAACUUAUUCCACGAUCUUUAUUUGCAAUCUGAUGUCAUACCAAAUAAAUGGUCAGUUAUCUUGGUGCAUGAAUAUUUUAAAUGAUAGGUAUAACAUGUAUAACAUUAUUGUUUCACUUUGCCUUCACAUGAACAAUUUUAUUGUUCAGUCCAUGUACAGCUAUAUGGCACUGUACAAAUAUAAUUUCCCAUCAU